rnacentral:rRNA from 1 species
GCCCAGAUGGGAUUAGCUUGUUGGUGAGGUAACGGCUCACCAAGGCGACGAUCCCUAGCUGGUCUGAGAGGAUGACCAGCCACACUGGAACUGAGACACGGUCCAGACUCCUACGGGAGGCAGCAGUGGGGAAUAUUGCACAAUGGGCGCAAGCCUGAUGCAGCCAUGCCGCGUGUAUGAAGAAGGCCUUCGGGUUGUAAAGUACUUUCAGCGGGGAGGAAGGUGUUGUGGUUAAUAACCGCAGCAAUUGACGUUACCCGCAGAAGAAGCACCGGCUAACUCCGUGCCAGCAGCCGCGGUAAUACGGAGGGUGCAAGCGUUAAUCGGAAUUACUGGGCGUAAAGCGCACGCAGGCGGUCUGUCAAGUCGGA